AAACAAAAAGUGCAUAAUGUGCACCCUCUG
rnacentral:tRNA from 1 species